UCUGAUCAUGCUGCUUAUCAAUGGAUCAAUCACUAUCAGAGUAUUGAUUAACAGUCAGUCAUCAUUUUAAGGUGGAUUUGGUUUGAUGACUGUGGAUACAUUUUCUUUAAGAACGUCUUCUGUCUUGUUUCAUUCAAUUCAGAGAGCCGUGUCUCUCCACACUGAGAGGUUUUUGUAGGGCGGCUCAAUGACUUUGUAUCACUGUGCUGGACUUUUGGUGGAGGAACCAGACUGAAUGUUGGAAGUGAUACCGCCCCCACCCUGACGGUGCUGCCCCCCUCCAGUGAGCAGCUGCAGCAGGGGAAGGCCACGCUCAUGUGUCUGGCCAACAAGGGCUCCCCUCAGACUGGAGUCUGGCCUGGAAGGUGGACAGCAGCAGCAGCAUCAGCUGGGAGGAGAGCAGGAGCCCUGUGGUGCUGGAGAAGGACGGCCUCUAUAGCUGGAGCAGCACCCUGAGGCUCGAUGCAGACCA